UGACUUUCAUAUUUGGUGAGAGAGGAAAGAGUUCCUCAGGGGCCUUGAGGUGGCCCCAGGGUGGCCUCUCUUGCCUAGAGGAGCACCACAGGC
rnacentral:snoRNA from 1 species